rnacentral:rRNA from 1 species
GGCACUUUCAGUGUCCGAGUUGUAAUUUGUAGAAGCAACUUUGGAUUUGGUCCUUGCAUAAGUUCCUUGGAAUAGGACGUCAUAGAGGGUGAGAAUCCCGUUUAUGGUGAGGAUACCAUUUCUUUGUAAAGUGCUUUCGAAGAGUCGAGUUGUUUGGGAAUGCAGCUCUAAGUGGGUGGUAAAUUCCAUCUAAAGCUAAAUAUUGGCGAGAGACCGAUAGCGAACAAGUACUGUGAAGGAAAGAUGAAAAGAACUUUGAAAAGAGAGUGAAAAAGUACGUGAAAUUGUUGAAAGGGAAGGGCUUGAAAUCAGACUUGGUAUUCAGUGAUCAAUUACCUUUCGGGGUGGUGCACUCGCUGUUUACUGGGCCAGCAUCGGUUUGAGCGGUAGGAUAAUGACUUUGGAAUGUGGCUCUUCGGAGUGUUAUAGCCUUUGUUGAUACUACCAGUUUGGACCGAGGACCGCGUCUUUGACUAGGAUGCUGGCGUAAUGGUUUUAAGCCACCCGUCUUGAAC